UUAUAACUUAUGGACGAUCUAUUGCUUUUCAUAGUGCAGUAAGUUUGGACCCAAUUAAAUCCUUUGAAGCUCCUGCAACCAUCAAUUCUGCAUCUCUUCAUCCUGAGAAAGAAUUUCUUGUUGCAGGCGGUGAAGAUUUUAAACUUUAUAAGUAUGAUUAUAAUAGUGGAGAAGAAUUAGGUGAGUUGUCCCCUUACAGUGAUGUGGUUACCUUUAUCAUAUGUUAAGUCCCAGUAAUUAACACCUCAUUUAUAUAUAUAUAUAUGUUACAUAUAUAUGUUGAAAGUAAAUUUUUCAGCUAACUUAAGCUUGGUGCUUACAAGUGAAAAAGUAAAGGAGUUUUAACCAUUUGGGUCAGAUGCUUUUAUAGAUCUGUAAACAAAGUAUGCAGAAAUUUAUCCUUUUAACUAAAGUUCAUCAUUAUGCUGAUGUUAUGUAUUAUGGUACAGUGAGUUUUAGGCUUUAUUGGCUGGGAGGGAGGGGGGAAUCUUAUGUCAAAGUCAUAUGCUAAACACAUGCAAGGAGAUCCGUUCUUUCUGAACUAUGUUGUGGGUGUAUAACCCCAUCUACUUGGCCCGUCUUCCUUUUUGCCAACUUAGGAAUUCCUAAGACUCCGUAAAGAACAGUGUGUGGGGGAAAAAUCAGUAUAGCAUAUUACAGGGAUACCUUUAGGAAUCUGAAUUGGAUAGUUAUUUUUAUCAGCUUUUUAUUUAUUCUGUUUUGGAGUUUGAGUUUUGCUUUCAUUUUCAUGAUAACAGUCCUUAGUAAGGGAAAGGGAAAGGCAUGGGGAUUAAUUUGAAGUUAAUGUAUAUUUAUCUGAUGGACCAGGUAUUUCACAUAGUUACAUGUGGUUCUCAGUAUCUACUUUUAGCCUUUCCAAAUAGUUUUUGCUUUUAGGUCAAAAAUAUGUUUAGUUUUUAUAAAUAUAUAUUUUUAUCUAUAAGCUGUCUCUUCUUGUUCUUGUCUGUUUCUAGCUGCCCUGCUUUACCAAAGAACGAAGCUUGCUAGAUUACACCCAAAGAACAAAAGACAAUUUUACGUUUUGUUUCUUGGGGAACAUUGAUGCAUCUGGGUUGCACAAAUGGAACCUUGGUGAUGGACCAUGUAGAAUCUAUUUUAAUUGCUUAUGGUUCAGUUUUUAUUACUUGAAUACAAGUGAUUUAUAAAUAAGAUAUUCUUUUCUGUUACUUUUAUUUAAUGCUAGUUUUCAAAGUUUUAGAAUGUUUUUGGUUUCAUAUUUUAUUCUUUUUCAAGAUUGAGAGAACUGAAUUAUUUGCCCAAGAUCUGAAGUCACAGUGAAUACCAGAUCUGCCUAGCCUUUCUCUUUCCAAAACCUUGUGUUCUUUGUACUCUUACAACUUUUCUAUUCUCUGGUGGGACACAGAUGGGAGACAGAAUAGGAACAUUGGUCUAGUAAAGGGCUUUGAGAACUAAUAAGGUGAUGAGGCAUUAGAAAGUAAAUGAGAAAGGUUCAUACUUAAAGGUACUACUUGAAUAUAACAGUGCUCCUAAUCUAUACAUUUUCUCAUUAGGUUCCAUGGAUUAAAAUAUUUAUGGAUCAUUGUUGAUCUAUAUCUCACCUUUCUGUGUGACAGAAUAAUUAGUGGACUGUAGGAAAUUAAGAGGCAAAGUGUGUAAAAGAGCUCCACCUGGUGGCUCUCUAUAGUCAUAAUAAAAAUUGAUUCCCUGAGAAAUAGGCAGUGAGUUUUAGGAUAUGGAAAUUGGAGGUUGAACUGGUAAGACUUUAAAUCUACUUUCUAUAGAAUUAAUGGGGUUUUCAUUUACCUCUUUUUCUCCAUCCUUAAUGAGACAUGAAGCCUCAUUUGCUUUUUUUAGAGGGACAGUUUGAAACUAGAAUGUGUGCUAGAUUUGGAAAGGAAUAAUCUUACAGAGAAAGGGUCAAUGAUAUACCACUUUUGUGAUGAGAAAUUAAUUAAGUACAGGUUUUAAUGUUUGCCUUAAGAAUUUUCCAUCUCCCCAGUAACACAGACAGUAUUUUUUUUUUUUAGCAUAUCAAUAUUUAACCUAAUAGUUAAAAUUAUCUAAUAGCCCUCUUCUUUUUCAGAAUCCUACAAGGGACACUUUGGUCCUAUUCACUGUGUGAGAUUUAGUCCUGAUGGAGAACUCUAUGCCAGUGGUUCAGAAGAUGGAACAUUGAGACUAUGGCAAACUGUGGUAGGAAAAACGUAUGGCCUUUGGAAAUGUGUGCUUCCUGAAGAAGAUAGUGGUGAGCUGGCAAAGCCAAAGAUUGGUUUUCCAGAGACAACAGAAGAGGAGCUAGAAGAAAUUGCUUCAGAGAAUUCAGAUUGCAUCUUUCCUUCAGCUCCUGAUGUUAAGGCCUGAGCGUCAAUCAUAUGUGCAGUUAGUAUACAACUGACUAAAACAAGCAAGCAGAGAAAAGCAUCAGCCUUCCAGAGUUACUGUCUGCUUAAGGCAGAAACAGCAGUAAAUAAUGAGGAAAAUGAAUUAGCUCCAGUGCUGGAACAACUAACUAACUUGGUGUUACCUGUAAGUGAAAACUCAAGUGUCAGAUGAAGGGAGGUGGAGUUAUCCUCUUAUAGUACAGUGGCCUGUUAUCUUUUUAAUGAAUAUAUACAAGCCAACAUCCAAUUUCUAUUAUUACAAUUAGGGUUCUUGUAGCUGUUUAUGUUAAUAUGGAGAAGAAAACUAUAUUGGCUGAUUUUUUCUGAUCUUAAAGCAGAAUGCCUUUUCUUUUUUUGCUUCAGUUGUAAAGAAGAGGGAAUACAUGAUAAAGUAACUGGUUUGAUUUCUCGUUCAUUGUACACUGCCUCUGAACAUCUAAUUGUUUUUAGUUGUCUAAAUAAAAUGCCUCUAAAACAAAA
rnacentral:lncRNA from 10 species